UACGUAGGUGGCAAGCGUUGUCCGGAUUUACUGGGCGUAAAGGGCGUGCAGGCGGUCUGUUAAGUGCAGGGUGAAAGCUCCCGGCUCAACUGGGAGAGGUCCUUGCAUACUGGCGGACUUGAGGGGGGUAGAGGAAAGUGGAAUUCCCGGUGUAGUGGUGAUAUGCGUAGAUAUCGGGAGGAACACCUGUGGCGAAGGCGGCUUUCUGGGCCCUACCUGACGCUGAGACGCGAAAGCCGUGGGGAGCGAACCGG
rnacentral:rRNA from 1 species